AAUUGUGUGUUGACUGGUGAAAUUUUGUGCUUGCAUGAUGAUGCUUGUCUUUAUGAAAUUGUCUGAUUUGUUUCUUUAUAAUGAUUGUUGGUGUAUUGUGGGUCUUCUAUCUACAAUGACAUCAGUUGCCUAGCUGGGUUCUUCUUUUGAAUCUCCCAUAUCGUUGUCAUCCAUUCCUUUCUACCCGAGCCAAUGAAGGACAUCAGAAAAGAGAGAACUAAAGUCAACACCAACGUCAACAAGCAGGAGUUAACAUCACCACCACCGUCUCACUAGAAGCAAGUUGAAGAAUAGAAGGCUUUACUCUGAUC
rnacentral:lncRNA from 1 species